rnacentral:piRNA from 1 species
UAUGAAUGAGGCUAAAGUUGGGGUUACUCC